UACGAAGGGGGCUAGCGUUGCUCGGAAUCACUGGGCGUAAAGGGUGCGUAGGCGGGUUUUUAAGUCAGGGGUGAAAUCCUGGAGCUCAACUCCAGAACUGCCUUUGAUACUGAAGAUCUUGAGUCCGGGAGAGGUGAGUGGAACUGCGAGUGUAGAGGUGAAAUUCGUAGAUAUCAUUUGGAACGCCAAUGGUGAAAACAACUCGCUGGGGGUGUGCUGACGCUGAGACACGAAAGCCAGGGGAGCGAACGGG
rnacentral:rRNA from 1 species